AAGCGCGUGCUAUGCGUCGCAUUAUACAUAAAAUCGACAGAGGUGGAAAAAAGAGAACGACAGACAACAGAGAAGAAUAAAAGGCAUGCCCAAAAUUCUGCUUAAGGCAAAGUCCUCACAUAAUAUACAUAAAAAUAAAAACACAAAUACGUCGAAGCAAUCGAAUUUUAUUUAUAUUGAUCAAAAAAAAAAGUUUGGGAGAAUUUUUGAACACUUUGCUGACAGCUUUAAGCCAAAACUGGUAUUUCAAGGCCAAAUUUAUUGACAAGACAGCACAAAAUCACAUUGGGAUUGGGAUUGAGCUCGAUGACGUUAGCAUUGAUUAAAGAUAAGAAAUUAAAUGUGUCAAAAUUGUUUUUUUAUUUGUCAUGCUGAGAAGAAUGCCUUAAAGCAUUUACAAUAAAAAGUGAUUCUAAUGACAAUGAGA